UACGGGGGGAGCAAGCGUUGUUCGGAUUUACUGGGCGUAAAGGGCGCGUAGGCGGCCUCCGCAAGUCAGUUGUGAAAUCUCCGAGCUUAACUCGGAAAGGUCAACUGAUACUGCGGGGCUAGAGUGCGGAAGGGGCAACUGGAAUUCUUGGUGUAGCGGUGAAAUGCGUAGAUAUCAAGAGGAACACCUGCGGCGAAGGCGGGUUGCUGGGCCGACACUGACGCUGAAGCACGAAAGCGUGGGGAGCAAACAGG
rnacentral:rRNA from 1 species